AGCCAACCGCUGCAACUUUUGGAGUGAAAUUAAAUAUGCUUUUUAACAUAUAGCGCACUAGCCCUUUCUCUCUCUCCUGGAUUAUCAAAAGACAAAAAAUCUCACCACCAAAAAACCCCUCUGUCCAUCCAAAACAUCCCAAAAGCGAAACCCAAUCGGCCGUCCCAAAAUACCCUCUCUUAUCUCACGAUUGCUCUAAACCUUCAAUCGAUCAUCCCUUCUUUCUUCUCUCAUGUCCGAUUCAAAACUCCAACCGAAAAAGAAGAUUUAACCCUCAAAUGAAACCUAAUCCGUUCCCAAUUUCGUUAAACCCCAGUCUCAGGUCAGAUUUGUUUCGUCACUUCAUCUUUCAUCUGGAAAAAGAGAUAAUCCAAACAUAAUGAAAAAUCGUAAAAAUGGCAGCUCAAUGUCUUUGAAGCUACUUAUUCAAUCUGGUUGGAAGGAAAAGGUCUAUCUUUUGUUUCUUGUGUUCCUUUUUGACUAUUCAAGGGUAACAAGAAAAGCAAAUAUGUUCUACAAUGGGCACUUGACAAGUUUGUUCCAAAGGGAAUGAUUAUCUUCAAGCUCAUACAUGUUCAUGCUGUGGGAAAUUUUCUCCCAAUUUCACAAGUGUGUGAUGAUGUUGCAGCUACAUACAAAAAGGAAAUAGAGUUGGAGACAAAUCAAAUGUUUCUACCUUUUAAGAAAAUGUGUGAGCAGAGAAAGGUGCAUGUAGAAGUUGUAGUGAUUGAAUCAGAUGAUGUGGCAUCUGCAGUGGCAGAGGAAGUGAUGAAGUAUGCUAUAACGAAAUUGGUCGUUGGAGCUUCAAUGGGUGGCUUAUUUAAAAGGUCAUGAAAGUGAAGUUAAUUUAGGAGGAGGUUUUAGGGAUCUUUCAAAACUUCCAACGCUAUUUCAGAGGUUAUAUUGGAGGGUUACAACGAUUGAGUAUUUGUCGAUUCUGCUACAAGUUUGCAAAUAAGGUUCAUGUAGCAGUGUGUGUGGCAGAAACUCUCCCGAAGUUAGGAUACUCAACUGAUAAAGAUCUUAAAGAUGGGAGAUUUGGAGUGCUGGAUUCUUGGAUUGUGGCUGGUAGUAAUGAGAAUCAGCAUAUGAAGCUCAUUAUUUGUAAUGCAAAGGUUAGAUGAGUUAGUUAAGAUUUGUUGAGAAGUUUAAGACUUAGUAAGUUUGCAUUAUGAUUUCACAAUAUAGUGUUAGAGUAACUUAUUAUUUCAUAAUCUGAUUUGAUUGUUUUUUGACCACAUUUCUUGAAUUAUUGUCGUGACCAUAACACUUCUCAAGCUCAGAGUCAAAGCUUCAAUCAGAACUUAAGUCAGAGUUCAGCUUCUUCUACAACGAUUUAUCCAAUCUGUCUCAAGUUAGGCCAAUUGCUGAAUUUAUAAACUUAGUCAAGGGUUUUCUAUGUCAAGGGAUUAUAAUUAUAUCAGGGAUUUGAACAAGGACUCCGACAUUUGGAAAAUCGGUUUUAGGCUGCUUGAGUCGUGGACUGUCGUUGGAAGUAAUGGAAAUCAGCACGUGAAACUGAUUAUCGGCGAUGCAAAGGGUGAUCGAAUUCAUGUCAUAACUCGAUUUAGAGACUUUGAGCUUUGGAAGUCAUUGAUUGAGGAAAGCAAGACCCUCAAUUGCUACAAGACAAUUCUUCUUCCUUCUCAAAGUUGGUGUCAGAAUUUUUGAGAAGAUCAUCCCAAAGUAAUUGCAAAAAAAGAUAAGAGCAUGAGGAUAAACAGAAGGAAUAGCAUAGCGGCAGCAGUAGCAGACAGUCAGACAAUUAUUGUACAUAGCUAAAAAAGUUAGGCCUAAUUCUGAGUUUAAUUAGUUUUGGCAAGGGAUUGCAGCUCAAGAAAUCCUAACUCAUUACAUUAACAACUCAAAGUUGAAGGUCAAGUAAAUUGAAGGCUCCUGAUCUACUUGAUAUUCUGAUUUCACAAGUUUAAUGAGUUUCUAAUAUAACUAUGAUUUUCCUUUUCAAAUUAUAUUCAUCACACAAUUAGUGAUUGUUUCCAUAGUUUCUAUACUGGUUCCAUUCAAAAAAUUUAAGUACAUAGACUUGUGCAUUAUAUUCAGUGAAUGAAGUCUUAUUGUAUAUAUGCCACCAAUAAAUACUCC